AUUGAACGCUGGCGGAAUGCUUUACACAUGCAAGUCGAGCGGCAGCACGGGGGCAACCCUGGUGGCGAGCGGCGAACGGGUGAGUAACACAUCGGAACAUGCCCAGUCGUGGGGGAUAACACUUCGAAAGAAGUGCUAAUACCGCAUACGUCCUGAGGGAGAAAGCGGGGGAUCGCAAGACCUCGCGCGAUUGGAGUGGCCGAUGUCAGAUUAGCUAGUUGGUGGGGUAAAGGCCUACCAAGGCAACGAUCUGUAGCUGGUCUGAGAGGAUGAUCAGCCACACUGGGACUGAGACACGGCCCAGACUCCUACGGGAGGCAGCAGAGGGGAAUUUUGGACAAUGGGGGCAACCCUGAUCCAGCCAUGCCGCGUGAGUGAAGAAGGCCUUCGGGUUGUAAAGCUCUUUCGGCAGGAACGAAACGGUGAGCUCUAACAUAGCUUGCUAAUGACGGUACCUGAAGAAGAAGCACCGGCUAACUACGUG
rnacentral:rRNA from 1 species